rnacentral:rRNA from 1 species
AUAAACAAUUUACUCUAUUAUGGUCCUUUCGUACUAAUAAAAGAUUAUUAAAAGAUAGAAACUGACCUGGCUUACGCCGGUCUGAACUCAGAUCAUGUAGGAAAUAAAGUUCGAACAGAACAAUCAUUCAACGCUGUUAGCUUAAAACAGUUCCUAGUCCAACAUCGAGGUCACAAACUCAAAGUAGAAUUAUGCUGUUAUCCCUAGGGUAGUUUAUUUUUUAUUAUUACAAAAUCGUUUUAUAAGUCUUAUUAAUAUAGGUUUUAUGCUAUAAUGUCGCCCCAACAAAAUUUUAAACUCCUAGGGUCUUCUCGUCUAUUUUAAUUAUAUAAAGGAAUUUUCACCUUUUAAGUAACUUGUAAUUAGUUAAAUAAGAGACAGAAAUUAUUCAUGGAUCCUUUCAUUCAAGGCUUCAAUUAAAAGUCAAUUUAUUAUGCUACCUUAGCACAGUCAAGGUACUGCGGCCAUUAAAAAUUUUCAUUGGGCAGGUUUUACUUUAUAUUAACUCAUAAAGCUAUGUUUUUGAUAAACAGAUGAACAAUAAUUUUGCCGAGUUCCUUACAAUAAAAUAUUAAUUAAUUUAUACUAAUUUAAACAUAAUUAAUACUUAAUUAAAUUGAUAAUUAAAAAACUUUAAUUUAAAGAAAAUUUAAAUUAAUAAUUAUUCAAUAUAUGCACAUAUGUGAGAUAUUAUCUCAUAUAUAAUAAUAUAAUUAUUAUUCUUAACAUAAAAAAAUCUUAACAUUUUUUUACUCAAAAUUAUUCUGUACUCAAUACAUUUAAAGUCAAUUUAGUUAUCAUUAAAGUUGACAAGCCUUUCACCACUAUUUUCUUUUAUUAUUAUAAUUUUGAAACAUUAAUAAAUUUAUUUCCUUAAAAUAAUAAAAAUAGAUCCUUUAAUUUCGAAAAAAAAUAAUUAUAAUUAAUUUUUAUUUAACCAUUAUGCAAAAGGUAAAACAUACUAAUAACUGCAAUUCAUUUUCAGAGUAAUAUAAACUU